rnacentral:rRNA from 1 species
AUUGAACGCUGGCGGCAUGCCUUACACAUGCAAGUCGAACGGCAGCACGGGAGCAAUCCUGGUGGCGAGUGGCGAACGGGUGAGUAAUAUAUCGGAACGUGCCCAGUCGUGGGGGAUAACGUAGCGAAAGCUACGCUAAUACCGCAUACGAUCUAUGGAUGAAAGCGGGGGAUCGCAAGACCUCGCGCGAUUGGAGCGGCCGAUAUCAGAUUAGCUAGUUGGUGGGGUAAAAGCUCACCAAGGCGACGAUCUGUAGCUGGUCUGAGAGGACGACCAGCCACACUGGAACUGAGACACGGUCCAGACUCCUACGGGAGGCAGCAGUGGGGAAUUUUGGACAAUGGGCGAAAGCCUGAUCCAGCAAUGCCGCGUGCAGGACGAAGGCCUUCGGUUGUAACUGCUUUGUACAGAACGAAAAGUACUGCCCUAAUACGGUGGGCGUCAUGACGGUACCGUAAGAAUAAGACACCGGCGUAACUACGUGCCACG